rnacentral:rRNA from 1 species
AUUGAACGCUGGCGGCAUGCUUUACACAUGCAAGUCGAACGGUAACAGGCCUUCGGGUGCUGACGAGUGGCGAACGGGUGAGUAAUGCAUCGGAACGUACCCAGAGGUGGGGGAUAACGCAGCGAAAGCUGUGCUAAUACCGCAUGUGACCUGAGGAUGAAAGCGGGGGACCGAGCAGCAAUGUUUGGCCUCGCGCCUUUGGAGCGGCCGAUGUCGGAUUAGCUAGUUGGUGGGGUAAAGGCCUACCAAGGCGACGAUCCGUAGCUGGUCUGAGAGGACGACCAGCCACACUGGGACUGGGACACGGCCCAGACUCCUACGGGAGGCAGCAGUGGGGAAUUUUGGACAAUGGGCGCAAGCCUGAUCCAGCAAUGCCGCGUGCGGGAAGAAGGCCUUCGGGUUGUAAACCGCUUUUGGCAGGAACGAAACGGUGUCCGCUAAUACCGGGCGCUAAUGACGGUACCUGCAGAAUAAGCACCGGCUAACUACGUG